rnacentral:rRNA from 1 species
UGGUGGAGUGAUUUGUCUGGUUAAUUCCGUUAACGAACGAGACCUCGACUUACUAAAUAGUCUGGGUCACUACUCUACUCACGUAGUAGAAUGUUGGUGGCAGCAUGACUUCUUAGAAGGACUAUUGGCGCGUAGCCAGUGGAAGUUCGAGGCAAUAACA